rnacentral:rRNA from 1 species
GACGAACGCUGGCGGCGCGCUUAACACAUGCAAGUCGAGCGAGAACCAGAACUUCGGUUCUGGGGACAGCGGCGAACGGGUGAGUAACACGUGGGUAAUCUGCCCUCGAUUCUGGGAUAGCCCGGGGAAACCCGGAUUAAUACCGGAUAGCCUUUCUAGGUUUUCGGUACUUGGAAGAAAAGGUAAGCUUCGGCCUCCGAUCGAGGAUGAGCCCGCGGUGGAUUAG